rnacentral:rRNA from 1 species
UAUCCUACGGGACGCAGCAGUGGGGAAUAUUGGGCAAUGGGCGCAAGCCUGACCCAGCAACGCCGCGUGAAGGAAGAAGGCUUUCGGGUUGUAAACUUCUUUUCUCAGGGACGAAGCAAGUGACGGUACCUGAGGAAUAAGCCACGGCUAACUACGUGCCAGCAGCCGCGGUAAUACGUAGGUGGCAAGCGUUAUCCGGAUUUACUGGGUGUAAAGGGCGAGUAGGCGGGAUUGCAAGUCAGAUGUGAAAACUAUGGGCUCAACCGAUAGAGUGCAUUUGAAACUGCAGUUCUUG